rnacentral:lncRNA from 1 species
GUUUUUUCAAGUUAGAAAACUGAUUUGCUACUUAAUUCCUGAAGGAAACGUUUGAAAUAGAAGAAGCACACAGCAAGGAUGGAGCGUUAAUAGCGUGAACACAGAUUUGAUACUUGUUGGCAUAGGGUUUUCCCGGAUAAGACAGUACACAAAAACAACUAGCUGGAAAUUCACACGAAACCCCUUAAUUCAACUGACAAAACCAUAAGAAAACCCAAAAAUCAACAAAAUUAGGUGAUCCAGGGGUAAAAUCGACAGAAAAAGAGCUAAAAUUACCUCGAUCCACAAGACUUGACUUUAUCCGAUCGAUUUUUGCAACACCGAAAAGCUGUAAAAACAAAGUCUUUACUACCACAAGCUGUAAAAAGACAACGACGGAUGAACAGAGGAAAAAAGUUCUGGUUCUCCAGAGAUUAAGAAAUUAAAUCAACCAAUUAGAGAACAUAAGCACUACAAAACAGAAACCAUAGAGAUCAGCAGAAGAGCUCACAAAUCAGAGAACCAAAUCGAAAACAAAUUAUGAUCGUGAUCCGUAGAACUUCGUAGAAGAGCAACCCUAAUAACUAAUAUUUGUGAAUCAAAAACACAAAUCAGCCAAAAGGAGAUGAGAACCAAAAGUUUCAGAUCAGACCGGGUGAGAGAAAUUGACUGAUUCUUCCAAGUAUAACAAAAACAGGAGCAGCGUGGUCCGUUGGUCAGGGAACCACCUUAGAAUAAGAGACACAGCGGUAGAACCAAAAAAAUAUUCAGGGAAUCAAGUGAGUCAGGAAAAAUUGAUAGUCUUACUUUCUGAAUAGUAUUAAUUGGACUAUGAUUUGUCCAUAUAUCAAAAAAUGAAUAAGGCGAAAAAUUGAUAUAGAGCAGUAGAAGAUCAAAAGCCAAAGAAG